GACGUCGACACCUGGCGCGCCGCCGGCAUGGUGGCCG
rnacentral:scRNA from 1 species